UAUCUGUGUUUCACUACAUAUCAGUUAUGUCGCCCUAACUUUAGUAAAAAUACUUAUAUGCAACUUUUUUAUGUGUACACUACUCUGUUUAAAUUAUGAUCACUAGUGAUGAUUAUAAUUUGGUGUUAUUGGAUUCUAAAGGACCAUUUUUUGUAGGCUACUGGUAUGUUGUUGCAUCGCAAAUCUGGAUGACCAUGUUCCCCUAUGAUAUUUGGAUACUAUAUAAAUUGCCACCGAGGUCACCAGAGUUGAGUCGUGCACUAUGGAAGAUGGGUUGUGGUGGACCUGCAAAAAGCGAGCGGACGAGCGGCCAUGUCUGGGGGUGUUUGGGGCUUGCUUGUAAUUUCUUUUUAUCUUUACAGGGA
rnacentral:lncRNA from 1 species